rnacentral:rRNA from 1 species
UACGAAGGGUGCAAGCGUUACUCGGAAUUACUGGGCGUAAAGCGUGCGUAGGUGGUUCGUUAAGUCCGAUGUGAAAGCCCUGGGCUCAACCUGGGAAUGGCAUUGGAUACUGGCGGGCUAGAGUGCGGUAGAGGAUAGUGGAAUUCCUGGUGUAGCAGUGAAAUGCGUAGAGAUCAGGAGGAACAUCCGUGGCGAAGGCGACUGUCUGGACCAGCACUGACACUGAGGCACGAAAGCGUGGGGAGCAAACAGG